rnacentral:rRNA from 1 species
AACGAACGCUGGCGGCAUGCCUAACACAUGCAAGUCGAACGAGACCUUCGGGUCUAGUGGCGCACGGGUGCGUAACGCGUGGGAACCUGCCCUUAGGUUCGGAAUAACUCCCCGAAAGGGGUGCUAAUACCGGAUAAUGUCUUCGGACCAAAGAUUUAUCGCCUUUGGAUGGGCCCGCGUUGGAUUAGCUAGUUGGUAGGGUAAAAGCCUACCAAGGCGACGAUCCAUAGCUGGUCUGAGAGGAUGAUCAGCCACACUGGGACUGAGACACGGCCCAGACUCUUACGGGAGGCAGCAGUGGGGAAUAUUGGACAAUGGGCGAAAGCCUGAUCCAGCAAUGCCGCGUGAGUGAUGAAGGCCUUAGGGUUGUAAAGCUCUUUUAACCGGGAUGAUAAUGACAGUACCGGGAGAAUAAGCCCCGGCCAACUCCGUG